GACGAACGCUGGCGGCGUGCUUAACACAUGCAAGUCGAACGGAAAGGCCCUGCUUUUGUGGGGUGCUCGAGUGGCGAACGGGUGAGUAACACGUGAGUAACCUGCCCUUGACUUUGGGAUAACUUCAGGAAACUGGGGCUAAUACCGGAUAGGAGCUCCUGCUGCAUGGUGGGGGUUGGAAAGUUUCGGCGGUUGGGGAUGGACUCGCGGCUUAUCAGCUUGUUGGUGGGGUAGUGGCUUACCAAGGCUUUGACGGGUAGCCGGCCUGAGAGGGUGACCGGCCACAUUGGGACUGAGAUACGGCCCAGACUCCUACGGGAGGCAGCAGUGGGGAAUAGUGCACAAUGGGCGGAAGCCUGAUGCAGCAACGCAGCGUGCGGGAUGACGGCCAUCGGGUUGUAAACCGCUUUCGCCUGUGACGAAGUGUGAGUGACGGUAAUGGGUAAAGAAGCACCGGCUAACUACGUG
rnacentral:rRNA from 1 species